rnacentral:rRNA from 1 species
CCUACGGGAGGCAGCAGUGGGGAAUAUUGGACAAUGGGGGAAACCCUGAUCCAGCGACGCCGCGUGAGUGAAGAAGUAUUUCGGUACGUAAAGCUCUAUCAGCAGGAAAGAAAAUGACGGUACCUGACUAAGAAGCCCCGGCUAACUACGUGCCAGCAGCCGCGGUAAUACGUAGGGGGCAAGCGUUAUCCGGAUUUACUGGGUGGAAAGGGAGCGUAGACGGCAGCGCAAGUCUGGAGUGAAAUGCCGGGGCCCAACCCCGGAACUGCUCUGGAAACUGUGAAGCUGGAGUGCAGGAGAGGUAAGCGGAAUUCCUGGUGUAGCGGUGAAAUGCGUAGAUAUCAGGAGGAACACCGGCGGCGAAGGCGGCUUACUGGACUGUAACUGACGUUGAGGCGCGAAGGCGUGGGGAGCAAACAGGAUUAGAUACCCCAGUAGUC